rnacentral:rRNA from 1 species
UACGUAGGGUGCGAGCGUUGUCCGGAAUUAUUGGGCGUAAAGAGCUCGUAGGCGGUUUGUCGCGUCCGCUGUGAAAAUCCAGGGCUUAACCCUGGACCUGCAGUGGGUACGGGCAGACUAGAGUGCGGUAGGGGAGAUCGGAAUUCCUGGUGUAGGCGGUGAAAUGCGCAGAUAUCAGGAGGAACACCGGUGGCGAAGGCGGAUCUCUGGGCCGAUACUGACGCUGAGGAGCGAAAGCGUGGGGAGCGAACAGG